AACGAACGCUGGCGGCAUGCCUAACACAUGCAAGUCGAACGAGACCUUCGGGUCUAGUGGCGCACGGGUGCGUAACGCGUGGUAACCUGCCCUUAGGUUCGGAAUAACUCCCCGAAAGGGGUGCUAAUACCGGUUAAGGUCUUCGGACCAAAGAUUUAUCGCCUUUGGGUGGGCCCUCGUUGGAUUAGCUGGUUGGUAGGGUAAAAGCCUACCAAGGCGACGAUCCAUAGCUGGUCUGAGAGGAUGCUCAGCCACACUGGGAAUGCGACACGGCCCAGACUCGUACGGGAGGCAGCAGUGGGGAAUAUUGGACGCUGGGCGAAAGCCUGAUACAGCAAUGCCGCGUGAGUGAUGAAGGCCUUAGGGUUGUAAAGCUCUUUUACCCGGGAUGAUAAUGACAGUACCGGGAGAAUAAGCUCCGGCUAACUACGUG
rnacentral:rRNA from 1 species